CCUACGGGAGGCAGCAGUAGGGAAUCUUUCACAAUGGGCGAAAGCCUGAUGGAGCAACGCCGCGUGCAGGAUGAAGGCCUUCGGGUUGUAAACUGCUUUUAUAAGCGAGAAAUAUGAUGGUAACUUAUGAAUAAGGAUCGGCUAACUACGUGCCAGCAGCCGCGGUCAUACGUAGGAUCCGAGCAUUAUCCGGAGUGACUGGGUGUAAAGAGUUGCGUAGGUGGCUUAAUGAGUAGCUAGUGGAAUCUGGUGGCGCAAACAUUCAGACUAUUAGCUAAACUGUUAAGCUCGAGACCGUUAGGGGUAACUGGAAUGUCUAGUGUAGGAGUGAAAUCCGUAGAUAUUAGAAGGAACACCAAUAGCGUAGGCAGGUUGCUGGGACGGUUCUGACACUAAGGCACGAAAGCGUAGGGAGCAAACGGGAUUAGAUACCCUUGUAGUC
rnacentral:rRNA from 1 species